rnacentral:misc_RNA from 1 species
GAUGAAGAACGUAGCGAAAUGCGAUAAGUAGUGUGAAUUGCAGAAUUCAGUGAAUCAUCGAAUCUUUGAACGCACAUUGCGCCCCUUGGUAUUCCGGGGGGCAUGCCUGUUCGAGCGUCAUUUCAACCCUCAAGCUCUGCUUGGUAUUGGGCUCCGUCCUCCUCGGACGCGCCUCAAAGACCUCGGCGGUGGCGUCUUGCCUCAAGCGUAGUAGAAACACCUCGCUUUGGAGUGCAUGGCGUCGCCCGCCGGACGAAACCUUUUGUAUUUUCUCAAAGGUUGACCUCGGAUCAGGUAGGGAUACCCGCUGAACUUAAGCAUAUCAUAAGCGGAGGA